GACGAACGCUGGCGGCGUGCUUAACACAUGCAAGUCGAACGGAAAGGCCCUGCUUUUGUGGGGUGCUCGAGUGGCGAACGGGUGCGUAACACGUGAGUAACCUGCCCUUGACUUUGGGAUAACUUCAGGAAACUGGGGCUAAUACCGGAUAGGAGCUCCUGCUGCAUGGUGGGGGUUGGAAAGUUUCGGCGGUUGGGGAUGGACUCGCGGCUUAUCAGCUUGUUGGUGGGGUAGUGGCUUACCAAGGCUUUGACGGGUAGCCGGCCUGAGAGGGUGACCGGCCACAUUGGGACUGAGAUACGGCCCAGACGCCUACGGGAGGCAGCAGUGGGGAAUAUUGCACAAUGGGCGGAAGCCUGAUGCAGCAACGCCGCGUGCGGGAUGACGGCCUUCGGGUUGUAAACCGCUGUCGCCUGUGACGAAGCGGGAGUGACGGUAAUGGGUAAAGAAGCACCGGCUAACUACGUG
rnacentral:rRNA from 1 species